GGUCAUGCUGCUGCAGCCUCACU
rnacentral:miRNA from 1 species